rnacentral:rRNA from 1 species
AUUGAACGCUGGCGGCAGGCCUAACACAUGCAAGUCGGGCGAGUGGCGGACGGGUGAGUAAUGUAUGGGGAUCUGCCUGAUGGAGGGGGAUAACUACUGGAAACGGUAGCUAAUACCGCAUACCAUCAGAUGUACCCAGCUGGGAUUAGCUUGUGGGUGGGGUAACGGCUCACCUAGGCGACGAUCCCUAGCUGGUCUGAGAGGAUGACCAGCAACACUGGAACUGAGACACGGCCCAGACUCCUACGGGAGGCAGCAGUGGGGAAUAUUGCACAAUGGGCGCAAGCCUGAUGCAGCCAUGCCGCGUGUAUGAAGAAGGCCUUCGGGUUGUAAAGUACUGUCAGUCGGGAGGCGUUACCGGCAGAAGAAGCACCGGCUAACUCCGUGCCAGCAGCCGCGGUAAUAC